rnacentral:rRNA from 1 species
UGGGGAAUUUUGGACAAUGGGCGAAAGCCUGAUCCAGCAAUGCCGCGUGCAGGAUGAAGGCCCUCGGGUUGUAAACUGCUUUUGUACGGAACGAAAAGCUUCUGGUUAAUACCUGGGAGUCAUGACGGUACCGUAAGAAUAAGCACCGGCUAACUACGUGCCAGCAGCCGCGGUAAUACGUAGGGUGCAAGCGUUAAUCGGAAUUACUGGGCGUAAAGCGUGCGCAGGCGGUCUUGUAAGACAGAGGUGAAAUCCCCGGGCUCAACCUGGGAACUGCCUUUGUGACUGCAAGGCUGGAGUGCGGCAGAGGGGGAUGGAAUUCCGCGUGUAGCAGUGAAAUGCGUAGAUAUGCGGAGGAACACCGAUGGCGAAGGCAAUCCCCUGGGCCUGCACUGACGCUCAUGCACGAAAGCGUGGGGAGCAAACAGG